CAUAGAUAACGCCUCUCCGGUGUGCCGCCUUGGCGGUACGGAAACAGGGAACCCGGUGUAAAUCCGGGACUGUCGCGCAGCGGUGUGAGAGAACGAAAGCUGCUAGGGGGUGCUCUUUAAGGUAAAGGGUCGCCACCAGACACUCUGCCCCACGUGGCAGGGGAAGUCGCAGCCGUAGGGUGGUAGCAUAGGCUUGGCCGGUGCUGCCCAUGCUCUCAAGUCCGAAGACCUGCCGGGGGCAUCCGUCUUGA
rnacentral:ncRNA from 2 species